rfam:Dipodomys ordii ctg_broad_rename0040254, whole genome shotgun sequence.
GGGAAAGUGGCUCAGUGGUAGAGCGCUUGCCUUGCAUGCAUGAGGCCCUGAGUUCGAUUACUCAGCACCA